rnacentral:rRNA from 1 species
AGCAGCCGCGGUAAUUCCAGCUCCAAUAGCGUAUAUUAAAGUUGUUGCAGUUAAAAAGCUCGUAGUUGAAUUUCGGGAUCAAUAUAUCGGUCGUGCCAUUGGUACGUACUGGUAUCAUUGGUUUCUCCUUUCUGACGAACCAUGAUGUCAUUAAUUUGGUGUUAUGGGAAGUUAGGACUGUUACUUUGAAAAAAUUAGAGUGUUUAAAGCAGGCUUUAGCUUGAAUACAUUAGCAUGGAAUAAUGAAAUAGGACGUUCGAACCUAUUUUGUUGGUUUCUAGGAUCAACGUAAUGAUUAAUAGGGAUAGUUGGGGGCAUUAGUAUUCAAUUGUCAGAGGUGAAAUUCUUGGAUUUAUUGAAGACUAACUACUGCGAAAGCAUUUGCCAAGGAUGUUUUCAUUAAUCAAGAACGAAAGUUAGGGGAUCGAAGACGAUCAGAUACCGUCGUAGUCUUAACCAUAAACUAUGCCGACUAGGGAUCGGAUGAUGUUAAUUUUUUAAUGACUCAUUCGGCGCCUUACG